rnacentral:rRNA from 1 species
GAUGAACGCUGGCGGCGUGCCUAAUACAUGCAAGUCGAGCGAACAGACGAGGAGCUUGCUCCUCUGACGUUAGCGGCGGACGGGUGAGUAACACGUGGAUAACCUACCUAUAAGACUGGGAUAACUUCGGGAAACCGGAGCUAAUACCGGAUAAUAUAUUGAACCGCAUGGUUCAAUAGUGAAAGACGGUUUUGCUGUCACUUAUAGAUGGAUCCGCGCCGCAUUAGCUAGUUGGUAAGGUAACGGCUUACCAAGGCAACGAUGCGUAGCCGACCUGAGAGGGUGAUCGGCCACACUGGAACUGAGACACGGUCCAGACUCCUACGGGAGGCAGCAGUAGGGAAUCUUCCGCAAUGGGCGAAAGCUUGACGGAGCAACGCCGCGUGAGUGAUGAAGGUCUUCGGAUCGUAAAACUCUGUUAUUAGGGAAGAACAAAUGUCUAAGUAACUAUGCACGUCUUGACGGUACCUAAUCAGAAAGCCACGGCUAACUACGUG